UGCUGCAGCCGGCGGGCGCCCGAGCGUCUUCUUCCCCCUGGGGCGCAGCGAAGCCGGCAGCUGCGGCGCUCUCAUUGGGCGCCCGCCCGCCUCUCGCCUCCUCCCUCCCUCCCCCCGCCGCCAGCUGCUCGCUCGGCUCUCCUCGCCUGCUUAGCAGUAGCGGCGGCACAACUUUCGCCUUUGUUGGGCAGUUCUGGUCGCGCUCCCGCAGCCGCCGGGGGAAGGAAAGCUGCGGGCGCAGCGGGCAGGUGGCUGCGCGCGGCACCCCCGCCCAGGGAAGAACGGCUUCAGAUUAACUGAGCAUCUCUGCUGGCAAGUGGCCUGUUAGUGAAGCCAUGGCAUAACAUUAAGAUUUUAACAAGGAAAAUUCCAUUAGGUAUAGAACUCCAAGGUUACUACAAAGAAGGAGGACUGUAAGUUUCCAGAAAGAGU